UCAAAACUGGAUAGACUGCCAGAGAACCUAGGGAAUGCCGAAAGUCUAGGGUAUUUGGGAUUGAGUGAAACUACUAUAAGAAAAGUCCCUUCUUCCAUUGGUCUCUUAAAACAUCUUCAUUGCCUAAUAUUGGAUGGAUGUAAGGGGUUAUCAUCUAAUAAAUCGUGGUAUGAGCUCCUCCCGUUUUAUUCAAUGCCAACAAGUCCUCAUCCCAUGGACUCGCUAUUCUCUUCUCUAUCUCUAUCACCUGAGUCUUCUUUGUUCAGCUUGUAUUUAAAAGACUGCAAUCUCAAGGCAAUCUCCAAUGAUAUUGGUUCCUUAUUCAAUUUAUAUGAUUUGGAUCUAAGUGGAAAUGAUUUUGUUUGCCUUCCGGAAAGCAUCAUUCGACUUUCAAAAUUGAAAUGGAUGUACUUGAAUAAUUGCACAAGUCUUCGAUCAUUGCCAAAGCUUCCAUUGAAUAUUAAACGCGUUGAGGCAGAAGGUUGUAUCUCACUGGAAAUGUUACCAAAUCCAUUAAAACCAAGCGAUUCAUUGGAACCAUCUCUCGGUCUUCAAAAUUGCUUUCAAUUGGCUGACAAUCAAAGCUGCAUAGACUGGUUUAUCUCAGGGAUAAAAAAGUACCUCAAGCUCACUCCCUCUCUCCCUCUCUCAGUCCUAAAAACCAAGCCUGAUUAUCCAUAUCAUCCAUAUGCCAUUGUUAUUCCUGGAAGUGAAAUUCCUGAGUGGUUUAGCCACCAAAGCAUGGGGAAUGAAGUGAAAAUAAAACAACCUUCUCAUUUGUGUAAGAAGGUGGGAAUUGCUUUUUGCGUUGUGUUUUGUACGAAUGAUUUUUAUCCAUAUCCCACUCUUGGAUAUUCGUUGAUAGCCAAUGGAAAAAGAAUUAAUAUUGAUUACUGUCCCUCAAUUGAUAAGGUUUCAUUAGAUCACAUUUUGCUAAUCUAUGUGGUUCCUCAAUUCUUGGACGAGGAAUCAAAUAAAUUAUUGUGGGAAGGUGACGUGAAUGGAUUCAGUCAGAUUAGAAUUAAAAUUGAAAGCAGCCAUGUCAAGGUAAAAAAAUGGGGGAUUCGUAUGAUAUACAAGAAAGACAUAGAAGAUCUUGACAGAACAAUGGUCCAGUAUAGCAACAGCAGCAUCACUCCUUAUGAUGGCAUGGAUGUUUUCCAUCAUAAUUUCAACCAUUCGUCAGUGGUAGUGGAAUGUCACAAAGUCAAGCGCAGUCGUGAUGAUUACAAUGGGGCUGGACCCAGUGGAGAAGGAAGCUCUAAUGACAUACCAAACCCAAAAAGGAUUAAAAGGCACACAGAAGCCCAUGGUAAAUCUGAUUGUAAGGAGUCAAGUGGGUACAAGGCCUGUGAUGAGGAGUUAAGCGAUUGGGACGACUCUAAUGACAGUAACCCCGAUGCUUAAUCAACUUUUCAGUUUUUUCAGAUCAUGACCAAGGUUAACCACCCAUGCCCAUUUCACAUGUUCAUCUUUAUAGUAAUUAGACCCAAGCAAGCAAGCAAGUAUUUAACAAGAUUGAAAAUGGGAGAAGGACCUGAUUGGAGAGCUGUACUCUCCAGAAGUGGCUGCUCAAAUUUUAGCUAUCCCUAUCUCAAGUUGUGGAGUUACUGAUAAGCUGCUAUGGCCUCAUACAACACAACAUAGUAUGCACAAGUCUAUGAUGCAAAACAUGUUGAUUAGAGUAACUACUGGAGAGUUCCAAGUGGAGUGUGUCCAGUUGUGGAGGGAUGGCAAGUGUUACUGACAGUUGAGGGGCACUAGCAGAGCAGAUGCAAAUGGGGUUGUUUUGCCUAUGUUGCUAAAUCAUGGGCUAGCAGAUAAUUUUUCAGCUUGCUCAAGUAAUGCCGUUUGCAAAACAGUGGAAGCUUACUGUUGAGAAGCAUAUUUUCUGGGGCUUGUUUUGGUUAGUGGAAGAUUGGAGGACCUGUGGAAAAGAAGAAGGUUCUUUGGCAGUAAUGCCGUAUGAAAAAAAGUGGAAGCUUACUGUUUGAGAAGCAUAUUUUCCAGGCUUGUUUUGGUUAGUGGAAGAUUGGAGGACCUGUGGAAAAGAAGAAGGUUCCUUGGCAACUUGCUGCGUUGAUUGAAGAACACAAGUGCAAGGAAGUUGGAGAACGCCAGUGGUGUACAUUUGCUGUGCACAGGUUUCACUAAUGAGGCUAGAGUCUUGGUUACUUUUGCUUGUAAUUCUUUUAUGAACAUUUUUUGGGCUUGUAACUCUAUUACUAGAGAGUUAACUUUAGCAGUCUAGAUAAUAUAUAGCCAAUUUGCUUCAAUAGUGGGACUUUAGAGUUACUUUCAGCAAAAACUGUUCAUGUUUAGUUGAUAUUCUCCACAUGUUAAUAGAUAGUCAAAAUUGCCAAUGAGCUGGGUAGCUCAAAUGGUAUUUU